UUCACUUCUCGGCCUUUUGGCUAAGAUCAAGUGUAGUAUCUGUUCUUCUCAGUUUAAUAUCUGAUGUGUCCCCUACCCAGGGACCAUAUAUUAAAUAGAGUUUUGGAACAGGGAGAAUAGAGGCUUGCCCCGUCCACCCCACGUAUCGACCUGGUAUUGCAGUACUUCCAGGAAUGGUGCAACCCUU
ensembl:snRNA U2 U2 spliceosomal RNA